rnacentral:rRNA from 1 species
GAGCGGGCAUCGCAAGAUGUCAGCGGCAGACGGGAGAGUAACACGUGGGAACGUGCCCUUCAGUUCGGAACAACCCAGGGAAACUUGGGCUGAUACCGGAUACGUCCGUAAGGAGAAAGAUUUAUCGCUGAAGGAUCGGCCCGCGUAUGAUUAGCUAGUUGGUGGGGUAAUGGCCCACCAAGGCGACGAUCAGUAGCUGGUAUGAGAGGAUGAUCAGCCUCACUGGGACUGAGACACGGCCCAGACUCCUACGGGAGGCAGCAGUGGGGAAUAUUGGACAAUGGGCGCAAGCCUGAUCCAGCCAUGCCGCGUGGGUGAUGAAGGCCUUAGGGUUGUAAAGCCCUUUCGGCGGGGAAGAUAAUGACGGUACCCGCAGAAGAAGCCCCGGCUAACUUAGUGCCAGCAGCCGCGGUAAU